AGAAAAAGUUUCUUUGCGGGAGUCCCAAACGGGGCGUGGGACAGUAAGGGAGGGAAAGGGCCCAAGGCUCCGAGCUCCAGGCUCUGAGCUUGUGGGGACCCUGACCUCUGUCUGGAGUGGAGUAACCCUAUUCCAGACCAUGUCCGGGCCCACCUGGCUUCCCCCGAAGCAGCCAGAACCCUCCAGACUCCCUCAGGGGAGAUCGCUGCCCAGAGGCGCCCUGGGCCCGCCAACGGCCCACGGAGCAACACUCCAGCCUCACCCCAGGGUCAACUUUUGCCCCCUCCCGCCUGAACACUGUUAUCAGCCUCCGGGGGUACCGGAAGAUCGGGGGCCUACUUGGGUGGGAUCCCAUGGAACACCCCAGCGCCUGCAGGGGCUCCCUCCAGACAGGGGGAUCAUCCGCCCUGGCAGUCUGGAUGCUGAGAUAGAUUCGCUCACCAGCAUGUUGGCUGAUCUGGACGGGGGUCGCAGUCAUGCACCUAGGCGGCCAGACAGACAGGCUUUUGAGGCUCCCCCACCCCAUGCUUACCGCGGAGGCUCCCUGAAGCCCAGUGGAGGUGCUGUUCCAACCCCGAUGCUCCCAGCAUCCCACUAUGGUGGACCUACCCCAGCCUCCUAUGCUACCGCGAGCACGCCAGCUGGCCCUGCUUUCCCUGUACAAGUGAAGGUGGCUCAACCUGUGAGAGGCUGUGGACUGCCCAGGCGAGGGGCCUCUCAGGCCUCUGGGCCUCUUCCAGGCCCCCACUUUCCUCUGACAGGUCGUGGUGAAGUCUGGGGGGCUGGCUAUAGGAGCCACCGAGAGCCAGGACCGGGGGUUCCGGAGGGACCUUCUGGAGUACAUAUCCCUGCAGGAGGAGGGAGAGGAGGUGGGCAUGAGCCUCAGGGCCCCUUAGGCCAACCUCCUGAAGAGGAACUGGAGAGACUGACCAAGAAACUGGUGCAUGACAUGAGCCACCCUCCCAGUGGGGAGUACUUUGGUCGGUGUGGUGGCUGUGGCGAAGAUGUGGUGGGCGAUGGAGCUGGGGUUGUGGCCCUGGACCGUGUCUUCCAUAUUGGUUGCUUUGUGUGUUCUACCUGUCGGGCCCAGCUCCGGGGCCAGCACUUCUAUGCUGUGGAGAGGCGGGCAUAUUGUGAGAGCUGCUAUGUGGCCACCCUGGAGAAAUGUUCCACAUGCUCUGAACCCAUCCUGGACCGAAUCCUGAGGGCUAUGGGGAAGGCGUACCACCCUGGUUGCUUCACCUGUGUGGUAUGCCACCGUGGUCUUGAUGGCAUCCCGUUCACAGUGGACGCCACCAGCCAGAUCCACUGCAUUGAAGAUUUCCACAGGUCUUGCCUGGAUUCAGCAUGUCUUCACUGACCUAUUUCUUCAUGUCCCAGGGAAAUUUGCCCCACGAUGCUCAGUGUGUGGUGGGGCCAUCAUGCCGGAACCAGGUCAGGAGGAGACGGUGAGAAUUGUUGCUCUGGAUCGAAGUUUCCACAUCGGCUGUUACAAGUGUGAGGAGUGUGGGCUGCUGCUGUCCUCUGAGGGAGAGUGUCAAGGCUGCUACCCGCUGGAUGGGCACAUCUUGUGCAAGGCUUGCAGCGCCUGGCGUAUCCAAGAGCUCUCAGCCACUGUCACCACUGAUUGUUGACUGCUCUGAGAAGUACCUGCUGGGAUCUCAGCCCCCGUCCGUCCGUCCGUCACUUCCCCCAACAUCUACCCUUAGUGUUUGCCAUCAAAUGCUGUCUUUUCUUCCUCUCUUCAUGAAAUAAUAAUCCCUGGAGCAUUUAAAAGCA